rnacentral:lncRNA from 1 species
UGACGGGGCGGAGCUUUCAACUUUCUCUGAAAGACUACCAACAUGUUAAAGGAAGUUAUGUAAACUAAUACAUGUCUGCAUUAAAAAUAAAUGGGCGCUUUGACCUGAAACUCAUUUCAUUCUGUUUAACUCCAGCGUAAAGGAUCCGGCCUCUUACACUUUACGUCCCCGGAGGAAACGGACGGAGGGACGCAUUUACGCAUUACGCUUUACGUGUGGAGCGGCGAUAUAAAGUCAGCGAGCUGCCGAAUGAACAGCCAUUUGACUGACUGAACUCUUCUCCAACUUCAAUUUCACGUCAGCAGAUAAACAUAUAGGCUAUGGACGGAGGGACGUGUCUCCGGAGCAAACGGAGGUAUAGACAUAUAUGGACGGAGGGACGUACGGGGACCGGCUUUACGCAUUUACGCAUUUACACAUUACGCUUUACGCGUGGAGCGGCGAUAUAAAGUCAGCGAGCUGCCGAUAGAACAGCCAUCCGACUGACUGUCACCUCUCUCUCGAUGGAUUGUAUUGGAUAUUUCCGGACGUUUCUCUCGAUAUUUCUUCUUCAUUUUGAAUCAACGGAGGGGAAAUGUAAAAGUUGUUUAUUGUGUUCUCCUGAUAAAGAAACCUGUCAUAUUCGUCGUGGUUACCAGGUGUAUAAGCAGGUGUGUUCAGCCGGCCACAGUAUGGAGUACCUGGCCUUCAGAAAUCUGGUGGAGUGUCACACACAGAGGCCGAGGUCAAGGUGAUCGCUGAGGAGAAAUAAGAGUUCAUGGUGGAAAAGUUUUAAAUGGACCAGACUGUAUCCACAUGUGUAAUAAUGGUGUCCAUGUUUUUGGUUAUUAGUAGAAUGAAACUGUGAGUUCCUGCCAGCAGGUGGAGACAUCUGCUGUAUUCCAGCUUUCAGCUCUGACUUUAAAGUCGUCCUGUGUUGUGUUCAGGUGCAGGUUGUGGACGGUCCUGAUGAGAGUGGAGAGAUGUUGACUGAAUAAAGUGAAAACCUUCAGUUCUGUCUGAAGUCCACAGAACAUCUUUAAUCUGUGAGUGUCUGCUGUUGACUACAGCGGCCAUGAAGAACACAAAAGGCUGUUCAACAAGUCUGUUAGCUUGUUCUGUUCUCUAACAUGAUGGAAACAGUUUGAGGUCAUGAAAACAUAAUUAUGUUUAUUCUAUUUCAGCCAAUAGUUCCUUUAUAAUCUACAAACUGUUAACUGGAACGAGCUCUGAUUGGAAGCCGAGUUAAACAGAAUAAAAUGAGUUUCAGGUCAAAGCAUCAAAACUUUUAUUAGUUUACAAACUGGAUGAAAAAACUGAAUCACUGACACAAGUAAUGAACAUUUUGUCAACAUAGUUUCCUUUAACAUGUUCGUCAUUAAGUCUCUCCUCAAAGGUCCUCAGGAGCUGCAGGAGCUCCUGUUUGUGAUCAGGAGGUAGAGCAGGUUGUCUAGUGAUCGGAAGGUUGUUAGUUCGAAUCUCAGCUCCUCCAAGCUGCAUGUCCAAGUGUCCUUGAGCAAGAUACUGAACCCUAAAUUGCUCCUGAUGAACAGUUGUCACCUUGCAUGGCAGCUUCUGCCAUGAAAGAGUGAAUCUGACAAGUGUUGAAAAGCAGCUAAAAUAAGAGUCCAUUUAGUCAAAUUCAAGAAGCAUCUUCACCGGCUGCUGAUGGUCCAGACAGAGUUUGAGCUGCUCACUGUGCAGACUGCAGAGACUCAGUGGAGCUGCUGAAGUCCUCCUCUGUCCACUCCUUCAACAGCAGGUCUGUAAGGUUAAGUGGUAACAUUCUUGAUGACCUUCUCUUACAAAGUGGACACUCCUGUAUCUGUGUGUCUGUCCAGCACUUGUGCAGACAGUCUUUACAGAAGCUGUGGCUGCAUGACAGGACGAAAGGCUCUUUAAAGAUGUCCCUGCAGAUAGGACAGGUGAGAUCCUCCUCUGGAUGUGAAUCCAUGUUCUCCUGUGACAAGACAGGUAAAAUAAGUAAAUAUUAGCUUUAAUGAUGAUAUUUCCCUGAUCCAACACAACAGUACACUGCUGUGUAUUACACAUGAAUGACUGCCAGUCUCUAAAACUACCAGCAACUAAGUCCAACAUGUGCAUUUACAGGCAGAAUUUAAAAUACCCAAAAUUCUAAAUGAGGUUCUGAAUGCAGAUUCACCGCAGCGUCACUCUGCCGUUAGAGCGCGUUGGCUGCAUGCCUUUGCACCAGACUCCAUUUAAAUUACACUAAAAAUAUUUUUUAAAUGCAUAUCAUAUAUACAUAUCUACUGAAAAACCUCAACAUACAAGAAAGAUGAUUC